rnacentral:tRNA from 1 species
GUUCCGGUAGCUCAGCCUGGUAGAGCGCCGCUCCGACACAGCGGAGGCCGCGCGUUCGAACCGCGCCCGGAGCAC